rnacentral:tRNA from 1 species
GGUCCGGUAGCUCAGAAGGAAGAGCAUCUGCCCGACACGCAGAAGGCCGCGGGUUCGAGCCCCGCCUGGACCA